UAACCAAAUAGUUUUUGGGAAGAAAAAAAAAAAAAAGAGGAGAAAAGAAUGUAUGCGCGAACGGGCUUUAGACUCGAGUAGAUGCCUAGAAACUUCUUAGUUAGAAGUAGCUGGAGUUGUGUAAUGAAGUAAAAGAAGUGGGGUCAAAAUUUAGUUCUGAUAUUUCGACGAUUGUAAUAUUGUGAAUGGAGGCGAACAAGAUGGUAAUCUCACAUAUUAGGGUUUCUAGCCUUAUAAAUUGCAGCAGCAAUACUCAUCUUCAACAUCAUCCUCUUCCCUGCCUCCCACAUAACAAACAUAGGUGUUUUUUUUUUAACUUAUCUGGAAAAUUCUUACUUUUUUUUUGAAGAGCUGUGAUGAGAUCUGAAGAAAGUCAUGCACCACUCUUACAAAAUUUACUUUUUGAUUGAUGACAAAUUUCUCGUAUCCAUUUUCUUUCUGAGCUCUCUUAUACAUGAUUUUCAAUUUUAUUAUUACAAUAUUAUUUAUUUGAACCCGCAGUCGGCUAAUUAUGAAUUUCAAACGAUCCUUUUUUUUAAUUUAUAUAGAAAAUAAUUGAUAGGAGGAGCAGCGUGAUGGUAUCUUUUCAGAAAGAUCAAACCAUGAUGCGGACCGUACCAUAGCCUAAAGCUUCUGGGGAUAAAAUUUGGUUUCUGAUCGCUCCUUCUACAUUUCAUAUUAUUUUUCUUGAGUAUUUUUCAUUUGCAUCUCAUUCUUUAUUUUCAUUUUUUUAAAAAAAAAUAAUAAAAUUUUGAACCCCUUGAUAUGGAAAGAAGCAUACGAAAUAUGUAGGAAGUGGAAAGGGAGGAGAGAUUUGGGAAGCUUUGGGGGCGGGUGGCGCGGGAAGAUGUCAUGUUUAUAUUUUCUGAAAUAUAAGAAUUGAUAUCUUCCCGACUCCACCCAUUUCACUGGCUUCCAAUCAUUCCUCCCUUUCCCGAUUCUCCUCCAGUUGGAAUCAUGGAUUUGUUUGUACAACAUGAGUUUCUCUAAAUACCUAGAAAAAAAACAUUUUAUAAGGUAACCUAUACUCCAAAUUCUGGGCUUCUGGCCAUAGGUAAAUUCAAAAAUCUUCUGUAUCAGAGAAAAAUUGGUAUCAUGAAUCACUAUUACAAGUUUUUAAGUAUCUGUUUUAAUUUUGAUUGAUAAAACAAAACUUUUAAAAGUGAUACCGUAGUUAUCUAACCGCACAGCCAAAAUCGAAAAAUGAAAAAAUUGAACCAAAAUGGAGAAACUAGUGUAUACCCAGGUUCCCUUCAAACGAAUGCUUGAUGUACAAAAAGAAAAACAAUAGAUCGGUCAUAUAGGAAAGAAGAGAGAAAAUCUGAAAUGCUAUCAACUUUAUUGUUUUGAAUUUGUCGAGUUUCAUACAAUUUCAUAUUCCAAGUCUCAAUUUAUUUACCUCAAAUGUUGAAUGAAUGACCUCCGAUGGAAGGAAUUGAUACUA